GGGGGCGGGGCCGGCGCUCAGAGUCCUCUCACGGCCCCAGUCAGGGAAUUUCAAUUUGAAACCUAGCGGAGGGAGGAGGCAGGCGCGGCUGCCGGCGGCUGGGACUGAAGAGGGACGGGUCCCCGCGGCGAGCGAGCUCCUGAGGUGCGGCGUCGGGCAUAAGCUGUGGCCAUGACUACUGAAGUAGGCUCUGUGUCUGAAGUGAAGAAGGACUCUAGCCAGUUAGGAACAGAUGCAACCAAGGAAAAACCUAAAGAAGUAGCAGAAAAUCAGCAGAAUCAGUCUUCCGAUCCAGAGGAGGAAAAAGGUUCCCAGCCACCUCCUGCAGCUGAAAGCCAAAGUAGUCUACGCCGCCAGAAGAGAGAGAAGGAAACAUCUGAGAGCAGGGGUAUUUCUCGGUUCAUACCGCCAUGGCUUAAGAAGCAAAAGUCAUAUACCUUAGUAGUGGCCAAAGAUGGAGGAGAUAAAAAAGAGCCCACCCAAGCUGUUGUUGAAGAACAGGUCUUAGAUAAAGAGGAACCCCUUCCAGAAGAACAGAGACAGGCUAAGGGUGAUGCUGAAGAAAUGGCUCAGAAGAAACAAGAGAUUAAAGUUGAAGUCAAGGAAGAAAAACCCUCAGUGAGCAAAGUGGAGACGCAGCCUACUGAAUUAGUAAGUAAGGAGAGAGAAGAGAAGGUAAAAGAAACACAGGAAGACAAAUUAGAAGGAGGAGCAGCAAAAAGGGAGACCAAGGAAGUGCAGACCAAUGAGCUGAAAGCAGAGAAGGCAUCUCAAAAAGUCGCCAAGAAGACCAAAACUGUCCAGUGUAAAGUGACCCUCUUAGAUGGCACCGAAUACAGCUGUGACCUGGAGAAACCUGCCAAGGGACAAGUGUUAUUUGACAAAGUGUGUGAACACCUCAAUCUCUUGGAGAAAGACUACUUUGGACUUUUGUUUCAGGAAAGCCCUGAGCAGAAAAACUGGCUAGAUCCUGCUAAAGAAAUAAAGAGACAACUGAGAAACCUUCCCUGGCUAUUCACUUUUAAUGUGAAGUUUUAUCCUCCUGAUCCUUCUCAAUUGACUGAAGAUAUCACCAGAUACUUCUUGUGCCUUCAGCUCCGGCAGGACAUUGCCUCUGGCCGCCUGCCCUGCUCUUUUGUGACUCAUGCUCUCCUGGGAUCCUACACCCUGCAGGCUGAACUUGGUGACUAUGACCCAGAAGAACAUGGCAGCAUCGACCUCAGUGAAUUCCAGUUUGCCCCUACUCAGACUAAGGAGCUGGAAGAGAAGGUGGCAGAGCUGCACAAAACCCACAGGGGCUUAUCUCCAGCACAAGCUGAUUCCCAGUUCUUAGAAAAUGCAAAGAGGCUUUCCAUGUACGGUGUUGACCUACAUCAUGCCAAGGACUCAGAAGGUGUGGACAUCAAGCUGGGCGUGUGUGCUAAUGGACUUCUCAUUUACAAAGACAGACUGCGAAUCAAUCGUUUUGCUUGGCCGAAAAUCUUAAAAAUUUCCUAUAAACGCAGUAACUUCUACAUUAAAGUCAGACCAGCAGAGCUGGAACAGUUUGAGAGUACCAUUGGAUUCAAACUGCCAAACCACCGGGCGGCAAAAAGACUAUGGAAAGUGUGCGUGGAGCAUCAUACUUUCUACAGGCUUGUUUCUCCAGAGCAGCCACCAAAAGCCAAGUUCCUGACCUUGGGGUCCAAAUUUCGCUAUAGUGGCCGCACCCAAGCACAGACCCGCCAGGCCAGCACCCUUAUAGACAGGCCAGCACCACACUUUGAGCGCACUUCUAGUAAACGGGUCUCCAGGAGUCUAGAUGGAGCUCCGAUUGGUGUCGUGGACCAAAGUAUUAUGAAGGAUUUUCCUGGCGCUGCCAGGGAGAUUUCAGCCUAUGGCCCUGGAGUUGUCAGCAUUGCCGUGGUACAAGAUGGGGACGGCAGGAGGGAAGUGAGAAGCCCAACUAAAGCCCCCCAUUUGCAGCUCAUUGAAGGAAAGAAAAAUUCCUUGAGAGUAGAAGGGGAUAAUAUUUAUGUCAGACAUAGCAAUUUAAUGUUGGAGGAACUGGAUAAGGCCCAGGAGGACAUACUGAAACAUCAGGCUAGCAUUAGUGAACUCAAGCGCAAUUUUAUGGAAUCCACACCUGAGCCGCGCCCUAAUGAAUGGGAAAAACGACGUAUCACACCUCUGUCCCUACAGACACAAGGGAGAAAAGGAGACCAUCUUUUCAAGGAUAUUUUAUCCGUGAAGGAGAAGUACCUGAUGCCAACAACACGGACAGUUGAAGAAAAAGCUCAGGAGACGGACAAGACACGUGCUCCUGAGUCAGAAGGGCCUUGCACUGGAGCCAGGGAUGCUGUUAAGAGUUCACAUGAGACUCUGAAUAUAGUGGAGGAGAAGAAGCGGGCAGAGGUUGGGAAAGACGAAAGAGUAAUCACAGAAGAAAUGAAUGGUAAAGAGAUAUCACCUGGGAGUGGUCCUGGGGAGAUUCGUAAGGUGGAGCCUGUGACACAAAAAGACUCCACCUCCCUGUCUUCUGAGAGCAGCAGCAGCAGCAGUGAGAGUGAGGAGGAAGACGUGGGAGAGUACCGUCCCCACCACCGAGUGACCGAGGGCACCAUCAGGGAGGAACAGGAGUAUGAAGAAGAGGUGGAGGAAGAACCCCGCCCGGCAGCCAAGGUAGUCGAGAGGGAGGAAGCAGUGCCCGAAGCCAGCCCAGUCACACAAGCAGGUGCCAGUGUAAUCACAUUAGAAACAGUGAUCCAGGAAAAUGUAGGUGCCCAAAAGAUACCCGGAGAGAAGAGUGUACACGAAGGCGCUCUUAAGCAAGACUUGGGAGAAGAAGCAGAGGAAGAGCCACAGAAAGUUAACGGAGAGGUGUCCCAUGUUGACAUUGAUGUUUUGCCACAAAUUAUUUGUUGUUCAGAGCCACCAGUGGUAAAAACAGAGAUGGUAACAAUUUCUGAUGCCUCACAAAGGACAGAAAUCUCCACCAAGGAAGUCCCCAUUGUCCAAACUGAGACCAAAACCAUCACAUAUGAGUCUCCACAGAUUGAUGGCGGGGCUGGUGGUGAUUCGGGCACGUUACUGACUGCACAAACCAUCACAUCUGAGUCCGUGUCAACAACGACAACCACACACAUCACCAAGACUGUAAAAGGUGGAAUUUCUGAAACAAGAAUUGAGAAACGCAUUGUGAUCACAGGAGAUGGAGAUAUUGAUCAUGACCAGGUAAAUAAGUUAAGUUCUAGUUCUGGAAAUGACCAUGUUUGUUUUCUAAGUUUCACAUUUGUCAUCAUGUCACAUACCUGUGUAAACCUCUUCUCCCCAUACCUCCUGGGUGAAGUCCACCUCCUAAGCAGGACAUAAAGACACAGCCUGGAUACAGGCUUUCCUACCUCUGAAUCAGCAUAAAACACAGAUUUCUCUUUAUUUUCCACUGGCUUUACAUGUACUUUUGGGUCUAAUCUGGAGGAUUUCUGGAAAACAUUAGAUUUGUGUGGGCCUGGUUUAAAGGCAAGUGAUCAAAUAUUUAAAAAUGAAUGGCAGUUCAAUGCACCAACUUCCAAAAAAUGAAGAAAGCCACUAAGCUUGAGCUAUGCCUACUUUCAGGAACUUUUCAAGUAUAUGGCAUUAGAAAAGUUGAGUUAUUUACUUCCAGGUGUUUUCUCCUAUUGCGAUUAUUGGGGGAGGGGAGGUAAUAUAAGGUUUCUUACAAAGUGAAAAUUUACGUUGAUUCUGAAAAUUUUUUAAAAGAAUCAUGCCUCCAUUCUAAUGUUAAAUUUGGCAGCAUGCAUGGCUUUGAGCAGGUGAUGAAUGGAACUGCUGGAGACUUUGAGAGCAGUUUUCAUUUUAGACUGCAGUCCCAAGUGAUGCCGGCAAUUUUUUUAAAAGUGAUUUUAACUCAGCUUUAAAGGAGACCAAGCUGUUUUCCUUUUAUAACAACUUGAAGAAAAGGAAAAGAAAUAUUCAAUUGACUAUCUCAGCUGGGGAGGAGGAGCUGACGAUAGUUACACAGCUUUGGACAUAAUACUGAGCUCAGGAAAGAAAAUUUUAGAGAACAAAAUUCUUCAUUUGAGAAAGGCUGCCUAUAUGUGAUCAGAGAUAAAUGGAUUUUUUCAUGCCUAAGAAGAAAAUUACUCCCAAUUUUUUUGACCUUUGUAAGCAUGAUUUGACUUACAUAUUCGUAAUGUACUUUUAAAAUUUUCUUAAGAGUUAUUAGAGGUUAAAAGAUUGCCUUGACUCUGGAUUUUGAUAUAGGACUGGAGAUUCCUAGAGAGCAUUAGUACACUUGUCUGCUUACCACGGGAAAAUGGGUGACUUAUGUGGAAACAAGCCUCCAGUUUUCCAGAUUUAUUCUACUAUCCACUGGAACAGUCUUGAGUUUCGCCUGAGAAAUUGGAGCAAACCUGCUUCUUUCUCUCUGGGACUCUUCUCAAUAAGCACUCACUGAAUUCCUAGAAUAUGUGAGGCACAAGCUCACCUUUUUUGGCAUGGUGGAAAGUGCAAACUAGGGUCUUCUCCCAGCCAUUGUUUCUUCCACCGCCCCCCUUCCCCCCACCCAUUGAACCUAGGCCCUUUACACACUUUAAAAUGCCACCUUUCCAGUACUCAGGUUUUACUUAUGUGUAUUGUUUUGCCUUUUAUAACAAAAGGCAAAAUAAUUUUGUUAUAAAAGGCAAAAGAAUGUUUUGGCCUUUUUACCCCAAAAUUCAAAUCUAGAUAGUACUGCUUCUGAAAGGCGAAUAUUAAAAACACAAUCUGAAAUACAAGUGCCAAAAUAACAUAUACACCUGACUCUUAAAAAAUCAUGAUGACCCUGCAGCCUUAACUGCUGCUGUUGCAAGGACAGGCAUCUCCUUUUUUGUAUAUGAUGUCAUGUUUCAGCCCUUUCUAAAACUGAGGCAGGAGAAUGCCGUGAACCUGGGAGGCAGAGCUUACAGUGAGCGGAGAUGGUGCCACUGCACUCCAGCCUGGGCGACAGAGCAAGAUUCCAUCUCAAAAUUAAAAAAAAAUAAAAAAGGCAUCUUAAAAUGGAAGGACACUUUCACUGGGCCAGACAGAAAACAAGAAAUCUUUUUUGUGUUGGCAAAUCAAAGAGGCAUGCUUUUACAGAAACUUGCUUUGCAGAUUCUUCACCCUGUGCUGGUCACGAUACUUUCAGCUCCAUACCAAGGAGGGGUAAAAUACACUGCAGUUUCUCUUCAGAGUGUAUUUCUUUCUAAGAAAUAAUUGCUCAAUUUGGCAGUAAGAUGUGAUGUUUUCUCAUAAUCCUUAUUAUUGCCAUAAUAAAUUAACAUUUUACAGUAUUUAAUUUUGCAUGCUGAUAUUAUGGAAUGAAAGGAGUUUUAACAAACUGAUUUUGAAUGUGUUUCAAGAUGACUGUAGCAGUUUUUGCUUUUCCCAACCUUUCUGUGAAUUAGAAUGUACUUCAUAUGUGUUGCCUUCCCUUGGGUAUCAUCUACAUUUUCUCUAACAAUUGCCCUGGUUUGUUGUAGGCAGAUCUUUGUAGAUCAGAUACUCAAAGUAUUUGAUCAUUUGUCGGUAGCUACAUUUGGCUCCCAUCAGAGCUUGUCCUUGUCUUUGACUUUUCCCAGUGUGGACUGCACAAACCAACGUAGUAAAUGGCUUGGAUCAUUCCAGUCUCCUUCCCUCUGAAGACAGACACACACACACACACACACACACACAAAAUGUAGAACUGCACCCCUGUGCUUCCUCUCCCUUCCCUAUUCCCAUUCCAGUCAACACGCUGAAAAGCUUUUCUGCCCUUCCCUGGAACCAGAUACCUGCUCCCACUCCUGCUCCACGCUAGCCCUCCAGCCAUUCACUCUCCCCCCUUGACAAACACUUGUCUAACUGCCCAGAUUGGAGUCUGGUUCCAUGUCUUAUUUCUCUAUUGUCCUAACACAGGUCACUCACAAGAGUUUGUUACCUGGUGGAAAUUUAAGCACCCUCAAAUGUCUUCCAAGUUUCUGUGCAAAAAAUUUUCGGUAUAAAAAUGAUGUCCUUUUUUUUUUCUUUUGGUAGCUUUACCUUUUUUUAAAUGAAACGAGGCUUAGGGUUUCUGCUUAGUAUCCUUACAGCUGACAGAAACUAUCAUGCAAACAAGAAAUGCAGUUGUCCCCUUAGGCAGCUGACAGCAAAAGAAAAAAUUGCAUGGCUUUAUUUCAAAUGCAGUUUCCUUAUGAGAUACGGUAUUCUCUGUCCUGGUAAAAUUUUCUCUUUGUUUUAGCAUUCUUUCCUAGACAUUUUUUUUUUUUUGGAGACAAAGUCUCACUCUGUUGCCCAGGCUGGAGUGCAGUGGUGCAGUCUUGGCUCACUGCAGCCUCCGCUUCCCGGUUCAGGCAAUUCUCCUGCCUCAGCCACCUAAGUAGCUGGGAUUACAGGCGUGCGCCAGCCAAGCCUGGUGUUUUUAGUAGAGACUGGGUUUCACCAUGUUGGCCAGGCUGGUUUGGAACUCCUGUCCUCAAGUGAUCGCCCGCCUUGGCAUCCCAAAGUGCUGGGAUUACAGGCCUGAGCCACCAUGCCUGGACUUUAGAAUUCUUUCCUAGACUUCGAGGGUUGUUCUCUGGUGUUUUGUUUUCUCACCCAUACUUUAAAAACAAAAUGAGUAAUAAUUAGGAAAGCCAUUUUCCUCCUCUGAAAAAUAGGAUCUUUCCAUUGUGCUGCAACACUCUUACAGUUUACUUUCUGAUAAAACACAGAGAAACUUUGCUUUCUUACCGCGUGGUCCAAGGAAGGACCCUAAACCACUGGAGUCAGCCCUCUGGGUCCUCCCUGCUCCUAUCCUGCUGCUCACAGGCUGGAUAGCCUUGAGAAAGACCCAUUAAUCUUUGUGCCUGCAGUUUUGUCAGCUGUCAAAUGGGGACCUGUAUUUUAUAACCUGAAGAUUAGUCAGUCUCUGUUCUUUAGCUUUACUAAUUGUAUGUUGUUGCUACUGCUCUUUAGUUCUGUGUCUUAGAGGUUUAUAGACAUCUUUCCUGCAGUCUUUUAGUUCAGCAAACAUUUUAGUUCAAACAAUUACUGAGAGCCUAAGAGGAUAAAGAUGAGCAAGGCCUGGUCCUAUGCCUUGCAGUUUCAGGCAAUUGGGUGAUAGCUAGUAUCACCUGAAUGUCUAGAUGAGGCACUGGGCUGGCUGCUUUACAGCAUUACUUCAGUUCACACAGAAAACCUUAAAAUGAUCAUUACAACUCAGCAUUGGUCUCGGGUUACAGGUAAGAAUGCUAAGCUCCAAAGAACUGUUUUCUCCAAAUCUCACAGUGAGUAUAAUAAGCCUGGGAUUCAAAGCCAGCAUGUUUCCUCCACGUGUCAUUUUUUGAAAGUGGACUGAAGGAUUGGGAGAUUUAGGAAAUGAGAAGCAGUCUGUAAAAUGACAGUGAACCCAUUUCAAAUCUUCCUGCUUUCUCAAAUAAAGAAGUGAGUGCCUCUUGGCUUGAGGUUGGGUCCGAGGUGAUCAGUGUGCGUGUGUUUUGCCAUCGUGAGGUGGAGGCUGUUCCCCAGCUCACAGCCGUUCUCUGUCCUGACCCUGGCAGGCACUGGCUCAGGCGAUCAGGGAAGCCAGAGAGCAGCACCCUGACAUGUCGGUCACAAGAGUGGUGGUACACAAAGAAACAGAGUUGGCUGAGGAAGGGGAAGAUUAAGUAAGAAAGUCAUUUUUUAAACAACACUCAACCUUGUGAACCCCUGAAGAUUUUUUGACCGUUCCAAGUCUUAAUGCCACACCACUAUUCCAGCGAAUUUAUGCUACAACUGGUAACAAUGACCAGAAGCCUGAAGAAUUAAAAUGCCAACACCAAACCUUUCCUUACCAGCUCUGGUCUAUAUUGCUCCCAUGCAUUUAAUAUAUUAUUUUGUUUUAUAACCACUUCUAAAUAUUCUUGGCUCUUUCUUUUUGUUGUUGUUAAUUAAGGGGUUUUGCUUUUGUUUUCUGUUUACUUUGUGUGCAACUACCUGCUUUUAAUGACUCACUUUGAUCAAAUGACAGUGAACAAAUCCAGCCCAAGCUGGUAAGGUGCUGUUCACUUGAACAGGUGCUGUUGUGCAGAAAGGAAACUCUGUGACUAAUUUAGAUAGUGGCUUUCCUUCUUCUGGAUUCUUUUCCUUGAAUUCUCACAGUAAAUAUUUACGGAGUUUUCAUAUUGCAGCAAAUAUACUGUAUGAGAAAAUAUUAAUACAGAUUAAAAGCAUUUCUUACAUCUUGAAAAUUUUCUAAUAUUUGAGAAUUUCACAGGGAUGUUUUUUAUGUUGGACCCUUUUGACUUUCCAGUCCUGUGACUUUCUACUUUUAGUAGAGAGUCGUAAUCUCUGGACUGGAGAAUUAUGAAGAAGUUCACUGACUAUGCACUGUGCUUAGAGACCCUGCCGCACCACAGUGCCAAUGCUUGUCAGACACAUGCCCUUCGGCAGCAUUCCAGAACAGGAGGGAAGAGAAAGAGAAAACUUUCUUCCCUUCUACUAAAAGAUUCAGGCAGCUUAAAACCUUAGUGCUUUCUUUCUUAACAUACCCAAAUUUCAGUUCUUUCCAUUAUUUGAACACUUGGGUGUAGAACUCUUGCUUUGUAUUAAACCUCCUUGUCUACACAUGUAAAACUGACCUUUUGUUAUUGAGCAGGCCUAUCUCUUUCAGAUAGUUUUAUGAUUCACACAGGUUUGAGGAUGCUGGGGAGAGGGGGAGGGGGCUGUGGUGGUGUUCUGUUGGUUACAGGAAAGUUAUACCAUUUAAAGCUGGCACCAGAGACCUGAUAGGGACUUAUUAACUAUAUUGAACAUUUUUUCCUUUGCCUUUGACCCUAUGUAUAGUUACGAUGCCAGAUUAGAUUUAUAGCAGCUUCAAGUUGUAUUAAAUGAUAUUUUGCUUCCUGUAAUACUGUUAUAAAAUAAAGUUUGUUUAUUCUCUAAA